UAGAGACUCAGAGCUGCAUAUCAAUAAGCGGAGGAAAAGAAACUAACAAGGAUUCCCUUAGUAACGGCGAGUGAAGCGGGAAGAGCUCAAAUUUGAAAUCUUCAAGGUUCUACCUUGACGAAUUGUAGUUUAAAGAAGUGUUUUCUGUUAGAUGAGUAGCAAAAGUUCCUUGGAAUGGGACAUCAUAGAGGGUGAGAAUCCCGUAUUUGGUCAUUCCUCCUAGCUUUGUGAUACACUUUCAACGAGUCGGAUUGUUUGGGAAUGCAGUCCAAAAUGGGUGGUAAAUUUCAUCUAAAGCUAAAUAUUGGCGAGAGACCGAUAGCGAACAAGUACCGUGAGGGAAAGAUGAAAGAACUUUGAAAAGAGAGUUAAACAGUACGUGAAAUUGUCAAAAGGGGAAGCGUUUGACACCAGUGUUGUUUUCUCGAAAAAUCAAUUAAGAAAGGCUUGAUUUUGUGUUGUAUUGACUUUAUCAGCUUUCUGCACUCUUUUCGAUGUCUUUCUUAAUGCACUUUUCGGUUAACAAGUCAACAUCAAUUUCUUUUGUUGUAAAAGAGUCAUUGGAAGGUGGCUUUCUUUUCGGAGAAAGUGUUUAUAGCCCUUAUACCUCUACAAUCGGAGAGAUUGAGGUCUGCAGCGUAGAUCCUUCGGGGUUAGAUACAUUUGUGCUAAGUUAUAGCCUUUCAUAGACAACUUGUUGACUAUGAUCAGUCAUGUAGCUUACUCGCUUAUGCUAUUUUACCUACGCUUAGGAUGUUGACGAUCAGCUGAGCGCG
rnacentral:rRNA from 1 species